rnacentral:rRNA from 1 species
CAUGAAUAAGGACCGGCUAAUUCCGUGCCAGCAGCCGCGGUAAUACGGAAGGUCCAGGCGUUAUCCGGAUUUAUUGGGUUUAAAGGGAGCGUAGGCGGAUUAUUAAGUCAGUGGUGAAAGACGGUGGCUCAACCAUCGUUAGCCAUUGAAACUGGUAGUCUUGAGUGCAGACAGGGAUGCUGGAACUCGUGGUGUAGCGGUGAAAUGCUUAGAUAUCACGAUGAACUCCGAUCGCGAAGGCAGGUGUCCGGGCUGCAACUGACGCUGAGGCUCGAAAGUGUGGGUAUCAAACAGGAUUAGAUACCCUGGUAGUCCACACAGUAAACGAUGUAUACUCGCGGUUUGCGAUACAAUGUAAGCCGCCAAGCGAAAGCAUUAAGUAUACCACCUGGGGAGUACGCCGGCAACGGUGAAACUCAAAGGAAUUGACGGGGGCCCGCACAAGCGGAGGAACAUGUGGUUUAAUUCGAUGAUACGCGAGGAACCUUACCCGGGCUUGAACUGCGGCGGAACGAUUCCGAGAGGAUGAGGCCCUUCGGGGCCGCCGCGGAGGUGCUGCAUGGUUGUCGUCAGCUCGUGCCGUGAGGUGUCGGCUUAAGUGCCAUAACGAGCGCAACCCUUUUCCUUGGUUGCCAUCAGGUAAUGCUGGGCACUCCAGGGAUACUGCCAUCGUAAGAUGUGAGGAAGGUGGGGAUGACGUCAAAUCAGCACGGCCCUUACGUCCGGGGCUACACACGUGUUACAAUGGGAGGUACAGAAGGUCGCUACCUGGUGACAGGAUGCCAAUCUUUAAAACCUCUCUCAGUUCGGAUCGGAGUCUGCAACCCGACUCCGUGAAGCUGGAUUCGCUAGUAAUCGCGCAUCAGCCAUGGCGCGGUGAA